CAUUUCCUCUUUGCAUUCUAUAAAUAAAACCCAUUUUGGUGGUAAUCAAUUACAUCAUCCAAUAGCAAUCAUUCCCUUUUCCGUUUCAAUCAGUUUCUUUCUUGAUUACGAUCUUGUUUGCAGAAAAAUAGAAGAAGAAUCUACGAGUACGCUAUUGAACAAAUGAAAAGAAAAAAUAUCGCCAUGGGAUCAAACCCUUUAGACCUCAUAGAAUAUAACCACGACCAGCAGAACACAGCCUCCACCUCAUCUCCAAAGAAGAACCUCCCGGAAGGAGUUCACUAGAACAAAUAUAGGCUUUAAUGUCGGUUGGGAAAAAUGGAAAAUGAACAUUAAUGUCGGUUUUGAAAACGCGGAUGUUUAAUGUCGGUUUUCCACCGACAUUAAAGACUAAGCUUUAAUGUCGGUUUUCCACCGACAUUAAAGACUAAGCUUUAAUGUCGGUUUUAAACCGACAUUAAAGGUCCGCCAUUUUGAAAACCGACAUUAAAGGUCCAUUUAAUUUUUUUUUAAUAAUUUUAUUUUGUGAAAAAAUAAUAGUCUCUCUCUUACUUUACUCUUUCGACCCUCUCCUACUCGCGCAAUCCCUUUUCUUCUCCAAAUGAAUUCGUCCAUUUCUUCUUCGGCGACUUUUUCUUCUCCGAUGCCCGUUCCUUCUCCGACUUUUUCUCAUUGUUUUUCUCAUCUUCUUUUCUUUUUCUGAAUCCUUCCCAUAUUCAUCCAAAGGCAUGCUCAUCCACUUUCUGUAGAGGGUUUAGGGUCGAAUCACCAUCGCUCUCUAUUUUCUCUUCUUCUUCGAUAGUUCCGUCACUCUCUUCUUAUGGAUUGUUGGUCCCUUUCUCUCCCUCUCGACGACGAGUUCAAGAAGCUCGUCAAUCGUAUGAACCCUCACAGGGUUACCAUUGAUAAUGAUUCCAUCAGAAAAGCUACUCCGAUUAAGUAAUCAGCCCUUUCGUUGCAUCAGCAAGCAGCCGAAAACCGCUGCAAAGCUCAGACACAAACACCUCGACGUCGAGCUUCUGUGCCAUCACCGGCAACAAGUCUUCAUACCCUUCAUCCACUCUACUUGAGGCCGAAUGGGGACCCCUUCGUCAUGUGCGUGUGAUCAAAGAGCGCAAUUCUGGCAUUUCACGGGGUUUUGCAUUUAUUGAUUUUCCUUCAGUGGUACAUAUAAAUUUUCAGACUCUGUAUUGGUUAAUUAUAUCAUAUUUUUGUGGUAGGCAUGUAUAAGUUAUUAUUGAUGAAAUAGGGAGCAGCACAGACAAUGAUGGACAAGAUUGGUGAUGAUGGUUUAGUUGUAGAUGGCAGGAAGCUUUUCUUUGAGUACAGGUUUGUUCAUUUGUCUGCAUAAUUAAGAUAUAUCACUCAAUUUGAUAGGUCUACCAUUUCUCUAAUUGUGUAUAGGUUUCUUUUCUGUUUCUAUUUUUUACUUGGAGUUUGAGAAAAGCUGGGAUCAUGAGAAAUAGUCUCUGUAUUUUAUUCAAUCAACAAUACUUUUGUGCAAGUACGAGGCAAUUCCAUGGUUUAAUUUUUCCUGCAAGCUUAUUUUGGUUUUCAUCUAUUAUGUACUACAGUAGUAAGCCAACGGGGGGUGCAGGAGGAUCUUUUGCUGCAGAAAAUACUACAAGAUCAGGCCAUUUUAGCAAGAACAUGACAAUGCCAUCGGAUUGGAUGUGCACAAUCUGUGGCUGUGUAAAUUUUGCACGACGAACGUCUUGUUUUCAGGUUUUGACAACAUUUUCUUCUAUAAUUCCUACUUUUGAUAAUUGGAAUCUGUAGUUGUAGUCAUAGAGAUCCUCCAACUAUGUUUCUGGUGCACGGGCUGUGUACUUGGCUGGAAAGGAAUCAUAGGAUCUUUAGAGGGGUUGAAAGUUAUGGAGAUGAGCUUUGAGAGUUGGUUAGAUUUAAGUCUUUUGUCUGGGUGUCCGUUGAUUUUUGUAAGUACCAACUUGUCAUUGUGCGAAACCUAUUUUUUAUUUUCUUGAGGCAACUUUCUCUAUUUUUUAUUUUCAAGUUUGCAGUCAUAACCUUGGGAAGUAGUUGUAGACUAUGUUUGUAUGUGAAAUCUUAAAGGUUUUCAAAAGGGCUUGCUCAUGUUGAUUACAUGCUCAACCAUUUUCUAGAGGUAUGUUGUUUUUAUUGCAAUACUUUUCUGACAUUCAUAAUGCUCAUACUUCUAUUCUGUUAGUUUAGGUGACUCCUUUUCAUGGCAAUUAUACUUCUGGUAUUGUGCUGUACCAUCUCAUGUUUAAUUUCUGAUUUCUAAUUAUUGUUUGUACAAAGAAAUAUAAUAUAUAUUGAUAUAUGCAGGCUAUCGCUGUAGUGAAGCAAGCAUUGGACGUUGACCCUACAAACUUAGAGAUGCUUCAUGCACUUGGUGUGAGUCAUGCAAAUGGUCAGUUGUUGCUUCCUUAUCUAAUUACAUGUUGUAUAUGUGUAUAUUCACUAAAAGCAAUUUUUCUAACAUAGAGUCUUUGGAGUUGUUUGGGUUCAGAGUUGCCGUAGUUUGUGGUCAUUGUAAUUUGUGGGAUUAUAUAAUAGUUUUGUGGAGUUAGAAUAGUUUGACUUUGGGGUGUAGGCUAUUUUAGUCUGACUAUAUAGUUUGUGUUUGUGGUGAAGAUUUAGUCAUUGGUGGUUGGUUCAUUGUACUGUAACUUGCCUGUUCAAGGCUCUUUGGCAUUGGCUUUCUUGAUGGAGCAAUAAAGGUGUUGUAGAAUUGCUCUUCAUCACAAUUCUCAGAGGAUAUGAUGUAUGUAUAUCUAAAAGGUAGGUGUAGGAAAUAUUUUUCAUGUAACAACCAACAGGAUGCCAUAUUUAUUAUUUAUUCACAAAGUUCAUUGUUGUUUCUAGUUUGUUGCCAUAUUUUUCAGUCAGGUUAUGGCAAGGAGGAAAUACCGCUGGCCCUGGUGUGGUGUUUUUCUUUUGAAGAUUAAAAAAAAAAAAUCUUUGUGAUAUGUGGUUUGCUUGCUUUGAACGACCUUUUUUUCUCUUAAAUAAGUUGGUUUCUGUUUUUUACAUUUUUGUUUUGUUUGUGAUAUGGAUACUUAGUUACGUAGGUUUCGGUUGCGAGACUUGCAAUUAUAACUAGGUCAUAAAAUUGUUACUUAUCAAUUCAACCAUCUUGAUGUCUUUUACAGGGAGAUAUCACUAAACAAAUGACUGCAAUAGAAGAAAUGGUUGCAAGUGAGUACAAUUAGCCAGACCCUUAUCUUUGUGACAAGAUCUUGAAGAUGGUCAUUUGUGAAGCGUUCUAGUUUGCUAUUAGUUGCAAUUUUAGUUAUUGCUCUCUCAAUAUAUUCUUUUUCUUUCUUUCUUUCUUUUUUUCCAAAGGAUGAUCAAUGUAUAAUAAUUAAGCUUCAUAACUUCUUUGUAUUUGGAGCCAAGUUGUAUAUAAAUGUACACAUUAUUAAGAUUUCAUUUUGUAUAUGUACAAGUAAAAGAUUUCAUUUUUAA